CAGCUAAUUGAGCUUUUUCAACUUUGGGUUUACCUGGCGCUUGUUCAACUGUACGAUUAAAUGAUACAACUUCGUGAAGUUGACCAGAAUCGUGCUUCAACGAAACGAAGAAUACAACCUACAACGAGCUAGAAAAAGAA